rnacentral:pre_miRNA from 8 species
GUGUAUAUAUGUAUACACAUACGUGUGUGUAUAUAUGUAUACACAUGUGUGUGUAUAUAUGUAUACACA